GGAAGUGUGGCUGAGUUGGUUUAAAGCACCGGUCUUGAAAACCGGCGAGGGUUAACGCCCUCCCAGAGUUCGAAUCUCUGCGCUUCCGCCA
rnacentral:tRNA from 4 species